rnacentral:tRNA from 1 species
GGAUUGUGACUCAGUGGUAGAGUGCUUGCCUAGCAUGUUUGAGGCACUGGGUUUGAUUCUCAGCACCA